rnacentral:rRNA from 1 species
UAGGAAGGGUCCCUCACCUCGUAAACAGCGGAGGGAUCAUUACAGAGUUAUCCAACUCCCAAACCCAUGUGAACUUAUCUCUUUGUUGCCUCGGCGCAAGCUACCCGGGACCUCGCGCCCCGGGCGGCCCGCCGGCGGACAAACCAAAACUCUUGUUAUCUUAGUUGAUUAUCUGAGUGUCUUAUUUAAUAAGUCAAAACUUUCAACAACGGAUCUCUUGGUUCUGGCAUCGAUGAAGAACGCAGCGAAAUGCGAUAAGUAAUGUGAAUUGCAGAAUUCAGUGAAUCAUCGAAUCUUUGAACGCACAUUGCGCCCAUUAGUAUUCUAGUGGGCAUGCCUGUUCGAGCGUCAUUUCAACCCCUAAGCACAGCUUAUUGUUGGGAACCUACGGCUUCGUAGUUCCUCAAAGACAUUGGCGGAGUGGCAGUGGUCCUCUGAGCGUAGUAAUCUUUUAUCUCGCUUCUGUUAGGUGCUGCCCCCCCGGCCGUAAAACCCCCAAUUUUUUCUGGUUGACCUCGGAUCAGGUAGGAACACCCGCUGAACUUAAGCAUAUCUAAA